rnacentral:tRNA from 1 species
UAGAUGUUAAGUUAAGUAAACUUUAUGUUUCAUGUGCAUAAAUUGUUGCAGUUUAGUUGCGCACAUCUUG